rnacentral:rRNA from 1 species
CCUACGGGCUGCAGCAGUGGGGGAUAUUGCACAAUGGGGGAAACCCUGAUGCAGCGACGCCGCGUGGGUGAAGAAGUAUUUCGGUAUGUAAAGCCCUAUCAGCAGGGAAGAAAGAAGACGGUACCUGACUCAGAAGCCCCGGCUAACUACGUGCCAGCAGCGCCGGUAAUCUGUAGGGGGCGAGCGUUAUCCGGAUUCACUGGGUGUAAAGGGAGCGUAGACGGCCGUGCAAGCCCGGAGUGAAAGCCCGGGGCCCAACCCCGGGACUGCUCGUGGAACUGUGCGGCUGGAGUGCGGGAGGGGCAGGCGGAAUUCCUGGUGUAGCGGUGAAAUGCGUAGAGAUCAGGAGGAACACCGGCGGCGAAGGCGGCCUGCUGGACCGCGACUGACGUUGAGGCUCGAAAGCGUGGGGAGCGAACAGGAUUAGAUACCCUUGUAGUC